rnacentral:rRNA from 1 species
UACGGAGGGUGCAAGCGUUAUCCGGAUUCACUGGGUUUAAAGGGCUCGUAGGCGGCCAACUAAGUCAGACGUGAAAUCCCUCGGCUUAACCGGGGAACUGCAUCUGAUACUGGAUGGCUUGAGUUCGGGAGAGGGAUGCGGAAUUCCAGGUGUAGCGGUGAAAUGCGUAGAUAUCGGAAGGAACACCGGUGGCGAAAGCGGCGCGCUGGACCUCUUCUGACGCUGAGGCGCGAAAGCCAGGGGAGCAAACGGG